AGCCUAGAGAACCAGGGGCACAUAUCACCAUGCAAUUGUGUGCAUAUAGAACAAAUAUAUACAUGAUAUCUGCACAUCAUCCACAAUUCCAUAUUGCGUUUAUCAAUUUUCAAUAUACCUAAAGGUGGUCAUUUACCAGUUUACGUAGUAAGAUGUGAUAGUUCUUAAAAAUUACAGCUGAUUAUAGAUGGAAGCUGACUAGCUCAAUCAAGAAGGCUUAAAUAUGGUGAUAGGUAUUUUUCAUUGGUUGGUGAUCGUGCAUACCAGUCUUGAUGUUCUUAUCACUUCAGUCUAAACUGUGUUUAAUAUAUAGUAAGUAGAUAAAGAAAAACCUGGAUAAUAACAGGAAGAGGUUGAUAGGGAUAUCCCUGUCUUGAUGUUCUUAUCACUUCAUUCUAACUGUGUGAAUAUAUAGUAAGUAGAUAAAGAAAAACCUGGAUAAUCACAGGAAGAGAUUGAUAGGGAUAUUACUUACGAAUAAUCAUCCAUUAGCAAAAGAAUGAUAUGAUAUUUCCAAAGUCAUAUUAUAAUAACAAAUAUUGGACACUAGUUUAACAUACAGAUUGCUAAGAAUGAAAACUCGGUCACAACAGACAAAAAAGAAAUACUUUAGAUAAACUUAAAUGCAACCAUCAACUAUCAAAUG
rnacentral:lncRNA from 1 species